rnacentral:lncRNA from 1 species
UCCUCCGAACGUAUAUAUAUAUAUAUAUAUCAAUCUACAAGAAACAUUAAACACACACAAGUAAGUUUAUGGAAGCUUAGUAAGUUCAUAGGCUCAUAAUAAAAUCUUACCACAAUUUCACUAACAAUAUUAAUAGACAAAUAAAAAUUCAACACUUCCUGCCAACCACAAUUUCAUACCAUGACUCUAUCCAAUCGAGCUCGAUGUCAGAUGUCAACUUAUUUUUCGACAUUUAGCUUCAAUUGCACUUACAAAUAAACACUUGUCAAAUUAAGGAUCGUCUUACGGAUUUGAGUACAUCGCUUUCCCGGUGCCACGGUUUGCUUGGAUGUUUCACAUUGCUAUAACUCAGUAUGGUUUUCUUCAUUGAAACACCAUACCUACUUUUUGCAACUCAGUAUGGUUUUCUUCACUGAAACACCAUACCUACUUUUCGCAACUCAGUAUGGUUUUCUUCACUGAAACACCAUACCUACUUUUCACAACUCAGUAUGGUUUUCUUCACUGAAACACCAUACCUACUUUUCACAUUUUGCCAUGGAGCCACAAUGGACUUAUCCGUCAAUUCAUCACUGGUUGUCGAACGUAUGUACUCAAUCCUGUGGAUCCCUUAAUUUGAACUAACAAUCUCAUUUUAUUCUCAUUUUUACCAUACUCAUAAUUCAACAACAAUAUACAAAUUGAUACAUUAUAUCAUUUCCAGAUUAACAAUUAAUCAUAAAAAUUCAGCCAUAUGAACUUACCUGGGUCAAUUUGCUGAAUUCGUAAAAGUUCAGGGACUAAUCAGCUACUUUUUCUUUUCCUCGACUUGUUUCAGGUUCUCGAUCUAAAAUGCAAAUUUAUUCAUUCAUCAGCAUUUAAUUCUAUUCUAAUUCAUUUUGCAGUUUCUGCCCUUAAAUUUUCGAAAUUACACUUUUACCCCAAAUUUUACAGUUUUUACACUUUGAUCCUUACUCAAUUAACCCAUCAAUUGAUCUAGUUUUUCUCAAUUAACACCUUGUCCAACUAUUUUAGACUACUAAAUAUCCUUUCAUAUUCAAAACCGCAACACCAAACCCUAAUUCCAGACUUUCUCACAAUUAAGUCCCUAAAAUCAAUUUCUACCAAAAUUACUUAAUAAAAUCAUCAUAUAAUAAAAUUAAAGCUUUAAUUCUAUGAUAAUUCAUCAUAAAAUUCCAGAACUCACUCAUGGUAACUUUCAAAAUCGUUCAUAGAAUCAAAACUAAUGAAUUCAAUAGUUGGACCUAGUUGUAAAAGUCACAAAACAUGAAAAAUUACAAAGAAAAAGCAAGAAUUGAGCUUACAUGGUGUAAAAAUAUGAAAACCCAGCUUUCUUCAGACCUUCUAUGGCGUUUUUGCUGAUAAAAUAUGAAGAGAUCUCU